rnacentral:rRNA from 1 species
CCUACGGUGAGCAGCAGUGGGGGAUAUUGCACAAUGGGGGAAACCCUGAUGCAGCGACGCCGCGUGGGUGAAGAAGUAUUUCGGGAUGUAAAGCCCUAUCAGCAGGGAAGAAAGAAGACGGUACCUGACUAAGAAGCCCCGGCUAACUACGUGCCAGCAGCCGCGGGAAUACGGAGGGGGCGAGCGUUAUCCGGAUUCACUGGGUGAAAAGGGAGCGUAGACGGGGGUGCAAGCCAGGAGUGAAAGCCCGGGGCCCAACCCCGGGACUGCUCUUGGAACUGUGCGGGUGGGUUGCGGGAGGGGCAGGCGGAAUUCCUGGUGUAGCGGUGAAAUGCGUAGAUAUCAGGAGGAACACCGGCGGCGAAGGCGGCCUGCUGGACCGCGACUGACGUUGAGGCUCGAAAGCGUGGGGAGCGAACAGGAUUAGAUACCCCAGUAGUC